CCGAGUUUACAACUCCCAAACCCCUGUGAACACACCUAUACGUUGCCUCGGCGGAUCAGCCCGCGCCCCGUAAAAAGGGACGGCCCGCCCGAGGACCCCUAAACUCUGUUUUUAGUGGAACUUCUGAGUAAAACAAACAAAUAAAUCA
rnacentral:misc_RNA from 1 species